rnacentral:rRNA from 1 species
UACGGGGGGGGCAAGCGUUGUUCGGAAUUACUGGGCGUAAAGGGCUCGUAGGCGGCCAACUAAGUCAGACGUGAAAUCCCUCGGCUUAACCGGGGAACUGCGUCUGAUACUGGAUGGCUAGAGGUUGGGAGAGGGAUGCGGAAUUCCAGGUGUAGCGGUGAAAUGCGUAGAUAUCUGGAGGAAUACCAGAGGCGAAGGCGGCCUACUGGGCUGCACCUGACGCUGAGCCGCGAAAGCCAGGGGAGCGAACGGG